rnacentral:tRNA from 1 species
CGGCACGUAGCGCAACCUGGUAGCGCACCGUCAUGGGGUGUCGGGGGUCGGAGGUUCAAAUCCUCUCGUGCCGACCA